CCUUGGAACGCACCUGCGCUAUCUCCUCAUUGGCCCUGUCAGAACAUGUAGAAGAAUGAAAAAUUUGCACAGCCAGAAGAAAAGAUGAUCUAACACACACACGAAGACUGAAUUUGUGCAUCUGACUUUGUAGAGGGUCCAAGCACAUUUCUAGCUCCGCCACUGGACAACACUAAACACAAAUCUCACCGAUCCAGUUUCUCUUCUGCGUGCACUUUGAGGGUUUGGUAACGCUGCUCUUCCUGCUUGAUGCGUGUCAGGUAGUCCUGUGCACAUUUCUUCAGGACCUCCUCAUUCUGGAGACAACAAGCAGCAUGCUGACGCAAGGGUGCGCUACUCAAUAUAUUGUGACAUUAAAAGCUCUACUGACCUUCUUGAAGCCCUCCAAGACCCCCUUCAUGUUUUCAUAGCGCCUGAAGAGGUCUGCGAAGGAGCGCUCUACAGAACUGAGGUCGGCCAGGGCCUGGUCCCUCUCCAUAGUCAGCUGUUGGACCGACUUACUGCUGGACAGCGUCUUCUGCUCCCGCUCAUCCUCUAUAACAAAGAUGAUGAUGUUGACUAUAUAGAUUGGUUGACGACAACGGUGACAUCACAGAGAGGUGAGGUACUACCUCUGGACCUGCCAUGCUUGUGAAGGCAAUACAAACACAACCACUAGGUGGCAGUGACUCACCAAUCAUCUGGGCAACUGUCUUCUCAUACUCUGCAACAAUUUUCCUGUCAACAAAAGAGUACAGCGUGAGCAGUGUAAGUCUUUUUAAUUUGAGUGGAUUUGUGCUUGGUACCUCAUCUCUAAAACCUCAGCUCUGCUUUCCUCGUACUUUGUCUUCCACUCACUGGCCUCGAUCUCUUUUGUGAUUAUCUGCGGCGAGCAACAAAGGGCAUGAAGAUGUAUGAUUAUGAUAAUGCGUGGAUCGAGUCUGACUCCAAUGAGAGUGACCUACCUCCUCUCUAAUGAGGGUCAGCACUGCAGCCUUGUCAAUCUCAGUCAGGGAAAUUUUGUCUCGGGACGGCGCCGCUGCGUCACUGCUGCAUGUUGUUUGUGUCUCACACUGUAAAAGAUUAAAUAUGAGCAUGACUAUAAUGUAUCUUCAUGUUUGAUCAGAGGUAUGGGGAGCUUAAGCAGCAUCCAUCACAGGCCACAUAAGGAGACACGGAAGUAAGCCCACGAGACUUGCAGGAAAGUUAGAUGAAGCAGCGCUGCUCAAGUGACUCCAGCAAGUUCACGUUCAUAUUCCGGUUCACUGCCCCAGGACUUUUUUGUGAUGCAUUUGCAAUCUAAUGGUACUUAAAUUUGCAUCGAUUCGCAUAUUCAAAUCUUUUCAAAUCCUCUGCGUGCAAGCGUGUUUGUGUUAGACAGACACUGAAAGAGAGCAACCAUUAUAAAAAAAAAAAAGAGUGACGCAUCUCACUGUGGUAUUUCUAACGACGAUAAACAUGAAAAUAUAUUUCAACGAUGACUACGGUUCACUUACUUUGUCAUCCUUCAUAAUACAUGUGUCCUUCUCAUCUUCAUGAUCCACUGUCUCCUGAGCUAUGAAUGGGAACAUAACACAGUUGCGAAUAAAGUAAAAACAUUGGACUAAAACAUUGAUAAACUAAUGUACAACAUAUAUGUAUAUAUUUCACAAUAUAGGCUUGGUAACACUUUUGUAUCAGUCUUCCUCAUGUCUAAGUAAAUGAUGAGAAAAGGUAUUGGUAGAUAGUAUUCUGUCAUGCUGUGACAUGUGGAUGGAAGAAAAAGAAAUCCUGUAAAGUUACCAUCUGAUACAGGUGUUUCCUCGAUUGUCUGUUUUUUGACAAAUGUAUCGAUACAUUCAGACUCUUCUUUCCGCAGGUGCUCGUCUUGCAUUGUUUGCCCCAUCAUGCCGGUGGAUGCCAGCUUCUCCUCAUCAGUGGCGUGGUGAACUGGUUGGGAAAUCUC